GAUGAACGCUAGCGGGAGGCCUAACACAUGCAAGCCGAGCGGUAUUGUUUCUUCGGAAAUGAGAGAGCGGCGUACGGGUGCGGAACACGUGUGCAACCUGCCUUUAUCUGGGGGAUAGCCUUUCGAAAGGAAGAUUAAUACUCCAUAAUAUAUUGAACGGCAUCGUUUAAAAUUGAAAGCUCCGGCGGAUAGAGAUGGGCACGCGCAAGAUUAGCUAGUUGGUGAGGUAACGGCUCACCAAGGCGAUGAUCUUUAGGGGGCCUGAGAGGGUGAUCCCCCACACUGGUACUGAGACACGGACCAGACUCCUACGGGAGGCAGCAGUGAGGAAUAUUGGUCAAUGGGUGCAAGCCUGAACCAGCCAUCCCGCGUGAAGGACGACUGCCCUAUGGGUUGUAAACUUCUUUUGUAUAGGGAUAAACCUACCCUCGUGAGGGUAGCUGAAGGUACUAUACGAAUAAGCACCGGCUAACUCCGUGCCAGCCGCCGCGGUAA
rnacentral:rRNA from 1 species